AGAGAAGGACCUGGAGAUCUCGCGGCCUGAAGGUAAAGGACCACCAGUUUCUUGUUUGAUGCCCAAAACAAACACAGAGGAAGAAAAUCCAGCUGUUUCCAGAGCAAUGGAAUCAGGAGUCUGGAGUUGGAAAAGUGCCAGGCGUCACGAGAUUUGUAGCCCGGGCUGAAAUGUCCUGUGCUUGCAUUUUGACCUUUGCCUGGCACCCACGACUGGCCUGCCUUCUCUGCCCCAACUCCUCCUUCUGACUGGUGUCCUUAUGUUUGGAUCUGUGCUAGAAUUGGUUCUGAGACAACAUAAACAGAGCAUGACUCAUGGAUUUGAAGAAGUGUAAGGGUGAAGAACAUGAAGUCAUCAAGGUUAGAAGAAGCGAUGCCAGCGAUGAACACCAGGCUUCACUCACGUUCAAGGAGAGAUGAUUCCAUUCAUUUUAUAAGGUUCACCCAGAAGCAUGGUUGUUGAGUUCUUGAAAAUACAGAGGUCAAAUCAUUUAGGUGUCUAUGUUUCCCCAACAAUACUUUGCUCUGGGGUGGGUAUCACCUGUAGGGUAGUUGUCCUGAUGAAAAGGCCUUAUUGGGCACCAAAAGCUCUGACUGGCAUGCUGGUGGAAGACCCUCAAUAGUAUAGAGAGAGUCAGCCCAGGCCCCUCUGACAUACCGGGUUUCCAUCUUAAGACUCUUUGGAUGCGGGGUCACCCUUCUGAUUCUACUGGCAGUAACUCCAGACCUAUAUCUUGGGAACAUCGGAGAUAAAGUUCAAGGAUGCUUUGUGCUGUGAAAAUAAAAUGACUACUAAGUGGUACCAGGCAAGCAGCCCUGUUGCCUGAUUUUAUGUACAUGACUUAGUGAUAUGGUUAUAAAAUAUGGGCAAAAUAAAGUGAACUGAAUUUAACUGGC
ensembl:processed_transcript 1700101I11Rik RIKEN cDNA 1700101I11 gene